UCAGACGAUGCGUCAUGCAUAUCAAUAAGCGGAGGAAAAGAAACUAACAAGGAUUCCCCUAGUAACGGCGAGUGAAGCGGGAAGAGCUCAAAUUUGAAAUCUUAAAGGGUUUCCCUUUACGAAUUGUAGUUUAAAGAAGUGUUUUCUGUUGAGGUUUUGGUAAAAGUUCUUUGGAAUAGGACAUCAUAGAGGGUGAGAAUCCCGUAUUUGACCUUUACUUUCAACUUUGUGAUACACUUUCAAAGAGUCGGAUUGUUUGGGAAUGCAGUCCGAAAAUGGGUGGUAAAUUUCAUCUAAAGCUAAAUAUUGGCGAGAGACCGAUAGCGAACAAGUACCGUGAGGGAAAGAUGAAAAGAACUUUGAAAAGAGAGUUAAACAGUACGUGAAAUUGUCAAAAGGGAAGCGUUUGACACCAGUGUUGUUUUUCUGAAAAUCAAUUAAAGAACUGUUUAUGCUAAGCUGUUUAGACUUUAUCAGCUAUCUGUUUAGUUUUGAGCUUUUCUUUAAUGCACUUUUCAGUUAACAAGUCAACAUCAAUUUCUUUUGCUGUAAAAAAGCUUGAGGAAGGUGGCUUGAGAUUCGUCUUAAGUGUUUAUAGCCUCUCGCCUAUGCAGUCGGAGAGAUUGAGGUCUGCAGCGUAGAUCCUUCGGGGCUAAAUGCAUUUGUGCUAAGUUAUAGCAUUUUAUAGACAACUUGUUGACUAUGAUUUGUCUUGUAGCUUACUCGCUUAUGUUAUUUUACCUACGCUUAGGAUGUUGAAUCUGUGCGAGACUAC
rnacentral:rRNA from 1 species